rnacentral:tRNA from 1 species
AAAGGUUUAGUAUAUGGGGGUAUAAUUUAUUGUCGAUAAUUAGGUUAAUGCCUUUAG